GAUGAACGCUAGCGGCAGGGCUUAACACAUGCAAGUCGAACGGAGUUACUUAACUAGAUCCCUUCGGGGUGACGGUUACUUAACUUAGUGGCGGACGGGUGAGUAACGCGUGAGGAACCCUGCCUUUCAGAGGGGGAUAACGUUUGGAAACGAACGCUAAUACCGCAUAACACAAUCGAGUGGCAUCGCUUGAUUGUCAAAGGAGCAAUCCGCUGAGAGAUGGGCUCGCGUCCGAUUAGCUAGCUGGUGGGGGUAACGGCCCACCAAGGCGACGAUCGGUAGCCGAACUGAGAGGUUGAUCGGCCGCAUUGGGACUGAGACACGGCCCAGACUCCUACGGGAGGCAGCAGGUGGGGGAUAUUGCACAAGUGGGGGAAACCCUGAUGCAGCAAUGCCGCGUGAGGGAAGAAGGUCUUCGGAUUGUAAACCUAAGUAGACAGGGACGAUAAUGACGGUACCUGUAAAGUAAGCUCCGGCUAACUACGUG
rnacentral:rRNA from 1 species